rnacentral:lncRNA from 1 species
AAUUUCCUAAUUAUCUGUCUUUUAUUCCAUGCUCAAACAAAGAAAUGCUACUGCACACUCCUGGGCAUCGCGUAAUUUAGUUUGCACCUUGAAAAUUUAAAGCACCUGUGUUUGUUUUCUCCCCCUUUUGCAGGAAAGUGAUAUAAAGAAAACGACAGCUCCUUCCUUUUAUCACCCUGGAGUUGAAAUUUUCAGGCUACCACUUCAAAGGAAGAAUGUUCCAGAGCCUAAAGCCCACCACAUCUGGAUGAAACCCUCACGCCAAGCCCAAAGCCUCCAGUCUAAUGACAGGCAAGUCCUGGAGGGGAGAAAGCAGCUGGGGGAAGAGCUCCUUUAAGUCUCUGAUGAGUCUGGCUU